rnacentral:rRNA from 1 species
AUUGAACGCUGGCGGCAUGCCUUACACAUGCAAGUCGAACGGCAGCACGGGAGCAAUCCUGGUGGCGAGUGGCGAACGGGUGAGUAAUAUAUCGGAACGUGCCCGGUCGUGGGGGAUAACGUAGCGAAAGCUACGCUAAUACCGCAUACGAUCUAUGGAUGAAAGCGGGGGAUCGCAAGACCUCGCGCGAUUGGAGCGGCCGAUAUCAGAUUAGGUAGUUGGUGAGGUAAAGGCUCACCAAGCCGACGAUCUGUAGCUGGUCUGAGAGGACGACCAGCCACACUGGAACUGAGACACGGUCCAGACUCCUACGGGAGGCAGCAGUGGGAAUUUUGGACAAUGGACGCAAGUCUGAUCCAGCCAUUCCGCGUGCAGGAU